AAAAAAAAAAAAAAAAGAACCGCAUUUCCUUUUUGACUUAAGAGGGAGAGAGAGAGAGAGAGAAGCGGAGGCUGGGGGCUGGUGGACGCAUCGAGCUAUUCCUCGUCCCGAUUGUGAACUUGGCAGCGGCUCUUUGGCGUGAACAACCCCAGUGGCCACUAACCAGGAACACCUGCUGGUUACCCGGAACGGGAGGGAGGAGAAGAUGGGCAUCUCCAGCGGAAUUCCAGCGCGGAAUAUGGAAGUGUUUAAAGGAAGACCUUCCCCAGCUCAGGAUGAUUCACAGACCUAGAUGAUCUGUUUAAAGUUGGAGCUGGAAUUGAUUGGAAUCCUGGACUGUGAAGCCAUGGAGGGAUGGAUCUGUGGAUCUGGAUCACACUCACUCACUCCAUAGUUAAUUUUUAUGUGGACCAAAUGAAUUCUUGGGCUCUCUGGUGAAGGGAGAAAAGUAGGGAGUGAUUAACAGCAGGACCUCAGCUUCCUUCUCACUGAAUCAUGAGCUUUUCCUGAAGCCAUGGCAGGAGCUGUGCUGGAAAUGGUGCCGUGGGAAUCUGCAUCCCAGGUCAGGAGACCAGACAUCAAAUCCCUGGUGCAUCUUGGCAGCUGGGAGCGCUCCAGCAAACCAGGAAUGCUCCAGCACACCCUGCCAAAGCAGCUGCUGGGAGCUCAUAACCAGCAGUGCAAAUGGUAGGUGGGAUCAGAGGAGAACCAGCCAGGGAUGUCCUCGUUGAGCAGAAGAACCUUAUCUUUCCCCAGUCCCAGAGAAUCCAUAAAAGCCACUCAAUUUCACACAGCUGCUUUUCACACAGCUGAGGCCACGUGGAACACGGCUCAUCCUUUUUAGAUCCCUCUUCCAGUGGGAACUGGGCAGGGAGACAGCAAACCUUCAAACCCCAAGCUGUGAAGGAGCAAGAACACUCCCAAAAUGUCCCUUCUAAAAGGGAGCCUCCCUUCUGGGUUUCCAAUGCUAUCUUUGUCACCACCCUUGGUAACCUUGCUAGCAAAGAGCUGAAUGUUAUUAGAAAACAGCUGAGCAUGGGUGGGAAGACAAGAAAACAAAAGGAAAUGGAAGUCCUGGAAAUUGAUUUUCCAUUUGAAUCUGUUAUUUUUUCUUCUAAUUUUUAAUAAGAUGUUUUAUGAAGCUUAUUGCACUGCUAUCUAUUUUCUUUUAGGGUGUGUUAUCUUUUGUGACUUGGUUUAGACUAAAAUAAACCUCAGUUGCUAAUUAAGGAUAGAAAUGGAAAUCCAAAGAUUUGCUUCUCAUCAAUGCCAAGCAGUAAAUCCUUUAAUGCUCUGGGAUUUUGCUCUGUAGCUCUAAAUUUCCCAUUGGUAUUUAGUAAUCUGCUGAUUGCAUUUACUUUAAUUCUUUGGUCUUCAGAGUGUUCAUGUUGAGGCGCUCACUUACAGUAGCUCUGCGUGUUAAGGGCAAUGAGUUAAAAGCUGGAGAGGUUUUUUUAUUAAAUUCCAGCUCUGUUUUUCCUAUUGAGUUCCCAACUACUGUGUUAUAUCACACUAAUAGGAGUUGUACUCUGGCUGGACAAAUGGCAGCGUGCUGCAGUGUCCUGGGGGAGCCAUGACAUCAUUUUUAAUUUGCUUAUCUGGACUCGGGAAAAAUAGGAGGGUGUUUGGUGAGAAAGUGGAUUUAUUUCUGCUCCAGCUCACCUCUCCUUGCUGUGACGUUAUGGGAACUGUGUCCCUGUGCAGGUUACACCCACUGGCUGCACCCUGGAGGUCUCAGAUGUGCCCAUUCCCCCACCUCUGAAGGAAUGGAGGGGUUUAAUGGCCCAUAAACCCAUUUUCCCAUUCCAUAGGAACUGUGGAGGAGAGGGUCACCAUCUCCUUUAAUGCACCCCUCAAGAUUUGAGGCUUGCAAGCUGAGAGAAGCCAAGGAAACCUUCCAGGCAGUUUUGUGGUUGGGUUCCACAACCAACUUGACACUGGAAUCAACAAGAAUAGGGACUGGGGAAAUUAUUUAGAGCUAAUGUUUGGACUGCAUUCGCUCAAAUAGGAAUUGAUUUUUAAUUUUUUUCAUUUCCUCAUUCCAGCUGAGACUGGAAAAGGUGUUCUAUUCCCAUGGAAUACUUCCUAACAGAGCUCACCUAACCUCUGCUGUGGGUGUCUCAUGGAAUUCGGACAGAAGUCAGGAAUUUAAAAUAGGAGAGAGCUUUUAAGUAAUAUCAUUCUGAGGGAAUAGUUUACAUACAGAUAAUGUUGGAUAAGUAGUUACUAAAUCAGUAAAUGCUUUUCUAAUUUUCCAAGUUUUUAGCAUUUGCUGAAAUCAUGGCUGUGUCUUCUCCAGAAAGAUAAUUUUGACGUAAAGCCUUUAAUAACUCUGUAGAACUCAGCCCACUGGGAAAUUUUAUUUUCCUAAGUGAAAGUCUGGCAGUUCUGUCCACUUGUUUUGCAACGAGAACCUUCAAAAUGGAAGUGCAACAACAUUUUUUAUAAUUUAUUUACUUAUUGCACUUAUUCCAGAGAAUCACUUGUGAACUACAACUUGCACUUUCCCACUCCUAACACAAACACGCAUUAAAUUAAUUAAAACAUUUAAGCUUCAAGUCUCAAAAUUUGGAUAUUUAAAUUCUCUUUAUCAAUUUGGAUAAACUAAGUUUGAAGAAAGGAACCAAAGCUGUAUUUUCUGAGUGAUUUGGGAAGAGAGAAUCAGUCUCAGUAGCUUUCAGUCCAACCAGUGCCAUAAGCUCCUGGCCACCUGGAACAGCUGACUUGGCAUUCCAAAGGCGAGCGAGGACCAAAGGCUCCAGCUCCCUGCAGUGGGAAUGACCCCACAGCACGAGGAAGACCUGAUUACAUCACGGAGAUAACCUGUUCCCUUAAAAAUAGCAAGGUCAGGGAGGCAAUAAAGCUGUCAGCAUGGCAAUCACAGCUUGUGUUCCACCAGCUCCCCAGGCUGGGGAGCAGCAGGGUGGGGACCUCACAGCGAGGACGGCCACGUUUGGGUAAACAAACCCAUGGCAAUACCCCAGUGCUAUUGUCUGCUCAACAGCUCUAUUUGUGCCAGUGAUAUUUCCAGGUUAGCUCCUCCUAGGCCCAUAAAAAUCUUGGUUUUAUUCUUUUUGCUGUUCUUUUUUUUUUUUUUUUUUUUUUUCCUUUUUAUUUCCCCUGGAUGCAAUGAUAGAUGGAGUGCCCAUAAAAACCUCACGGCUCCAUGCGGGACAUCCCCAAGCUCUGAGCCAGGUGUGGAGCAACUGGUCAUGGAACAGGCUUCCACCCAGGCCAGGGCUUGGCUCCAGCCUCCUGUCCACUCACUGGGAUGCCUCACUCUUUGUUCACAUCCAGCUGUGGGAAUAUUUCCCACCAGAGUCCAGGCCAAGAAUGGAAAACCAUCCAAUCUCUGCAGCCAAGCAGCCUUGGGAGGUGCUGGGGGUGCAGGUGGCAGCCCAAUAUUCUCAUUGUGCUGGGCUGGUUGGUUUUCAGCAGAGGAAGAUGUUGUGAAGGGUUCACAUCCUGUUGGUGCCUCAGAUAUGUUUCAGCUAUUGCUGUUUUCCUCUGGAUAACGUGUCCCUUGGCUCAGCCUCCAGUUCAGCUGGCCUUGGACAAUGGGUCAGAGUGAUGCAACUGAUCUGGGGACUUUUGCACUCAAGUGUCAAACUGUGAGGUUUAGAUAAAGAUUGAACAUGUGCAAAGCAGUGUCCAGGGAUAAAACAUUUCUUAUUACAUCCAAAAUGAAGCAUAAGCUUGUGCCACUGAUAAUAUAUAGCAAGGCUUUGUCCGUAAAACACUGAAUAUUCAGCAAAUUUUGGUGAAAUUUUUGAUAUUUAAGAUACUUUUCAGCUUCAAGCCAUGUCAGGGGUUGAGUUCAGAGGUGAGAAAGACCAAAAGAGGCAUUGGCCUCAUGUGAGUGAAAUGUGGCUGCAGUCAGAGCAGCUGCCACUGCCUUGCACAGCUUUUCCCUUCCUUUGGUGGUGGCUCAGCAUUGCACUCAGAGCAGCUCCAGGCAGUUAUAACCUGAAAUUCCUGACAAUCACAUCCACCUCCUCCCAUCUGGCCAAGAAAUCCAUUUGGAAAUGAAGCUUUAAAUCCAAAGUUCCAUUGCUGUUGAAAAGGGUUAGAGAUGGGAUGAGAUUGUAAGCAAUCAGAUGGGAAAAAAUUUGGAUUGACCCGAAAAUUUAGCUGAAAUUCAGAAAAAUCUUUUAGGAAUUUUUAAAGUAUAUUUGCUAUGUUGCAUAAUAUUUUGUUUUAUCGUUAUAUUUUGUUAUAUUGUUAUGUUUUCACACUGAUUUUGAAAUACUGUGAGAUGAGUCUGUUUCCAUGGACUAUUUUUGUUCUGUACUGGAGGGGGGAAAAGCUGUUCUUGUAGGAUUUUCAUCCCAGGAAGAAAUAACAAAAAAAUAAUUUGUGAUUGUUUUUCUAAAUGGAAUAAUCAGUCUGAAGCUUGCCUAUUACCAAGUCCUAAUUAUCUGUUGAUGUUAAUUCCACUGAUUGUCCAUAGGUGAGUCAGAGUUCUAAGGCAAUGAAGGAAUUUAAUUGGAAUGAUUUUUCAGUUUUUUGGGUCUAUUUACAGACCGUGGUAUGUCCAUUUGAUCAAGUGCCAGAAUGUGAAACUGAAACACCAGUGUUUUCUUCUUGCUGUAAUUGGAAUCUUUUAAGACAAGAUUCCAGCGUUUGAAGGUGUUCACUGCAAGGUUUUGGUUCUUUCCCAUCAAGGUUUCAAUGCUGAUACAUAAAAUUUGAAACCCAAUGUUGGCUGCCUUCCCCAUCCAUUGAAUUCAACAGGGAUUGAAUUUUUUUAUUUCAAUCAGGACAAUGUUUAGCACUUCUGGCUGCCCAAAAGACACCGUGGUCCAACCACCUGCUCUGGAUCUGCUGGCUGAGCUCCCCUGGUGCUACCAACCCUUCCCAAGCCAUCACUGCUCUGGAAACAGGAAUUUCUCUCUUUUUCUGAAAAAUUGUGGUGACCUGAAACACAGCUGAUGCUUGGGGCUUCUUGGGAGCAGCCCUGCCAGGGAGGGAGCUGAAGUAUGUUAAUUUUUGGGAUGAUAACAACAUCUUUUAAUGGAAGGGGAGGUUUGGCCUCCAAGGGCUUUGCCCUGGGGAGAGGGUGUGAAGGGGAGCAGCCCCUGAGCCCUGGGUUUGCCAUGCUGGCUGGAGGGCGUGAGAAGAACGGGGUUUGUACCUCUGCCAAGCCCUUCCCUGCUGCUCUUGGGGAAACCAAGCUGCAAAAAGCUCUUUCCUGCAGAGUGUCACCAGGACAGCCUUAAAUUUGGCUUCAGGAAAUGGUUCAAUUCUUUAAUUUAUUUUUUUUUUUAAAUCUAUCUUGCUCCACAUUAUUAAAAAAUAAAGAUAUGAUUUAUAUGGAUCUGUUGCAUGGGACAUGAGACCCAUAUCACCUACAGGGAUGGUGAUGGCGUGGCAAUUUGUCUGUGCUGGAGAAACCAGUCAGCCUCAGUUCAAAUCCCUUCCUUCAUCCAGUGCAACAAUAAUAUCUUUUGGACAAGGGAUUUUGGAAAAGUUGAAAUGUUUGCUUUACAAAACAGACAUAAAAUUUCUCCUUCAAGGUGCUAAAUUUGUGCUGAGCUGGUCCAAAACACGACUGCAUCUGGCUGUGUCUCGUGUCUGCCACUAAAAAAAUGUCCUAAAUUCCAGACAACCUCUGGGGCUUUGAAAUAAAACUCAUUAAUCCUG